GAUGAACGCUGGCGGCGUGCCUAAUACAUGCAAGUCGAGCGAACAGACGAGGAUCUUACUCCUCUGACGUUAGCGGCGCACGGGUGAGUAACACAUGUAUACCCCACAUAUAGAACUGGGAUAAAUUCGGGAAACAGGAGCUAAUACCGCAUAAUAUAUUGAACCGUGUGGUUCAAUUAUUAUUGACGGUUUUGCUGUCACGUAUGGAUGUAUGCGCGCUGCAUUAGCUAGUUGGUAAGGUAACGGCUUACCAAUGCAACGAUGCGUUGCCGACCUGAGAGGGUGAUCGGCCACACUGGAACUGAGACACGGUCCAGACUCGUACGGGAGGCAGCAGUAGGGAAUGUUCCGCAGAGGGCGAAAGCCUGACGGAGCAACGCCGCGUGAGUGAUGAAGGUCUUCGGAUCGUAAUACUCUGUUAUUAGGGAAGAACAAAUGUGUAAGUAACUAUGCACGUCUUGACGGUACCUAAUCAGAAAGCAACGGCUAACUACGUG
rnacentral:rRNA from 1 species